rnacentral:rRNA from 1 species
UGCGUAGGCGGCCGGGUAAGUCUGAUGUGAAAUCCCGCAGCUUAACUGCGGAACGGCAUUGGAUACUAUUCGGCUCGAGGAGUGGAGGGGAGACUGGAAUACUUGGUGUAGCAGUGAAAUGCGUAGAUAUCAAGUGGAACACCAGUGGCGAAGGCGAGUCUCUGGACACUUCCUGACGCUGAGGCACGAAAGCCAGGGGAGCAAACGGGAUUAGAUACCCCGGUAGUCCUGGCCCUAAACGGUGCGCGUUUGCUGUGAGCGGAAUCGACCCCGCUCGUGGCGAAGCUAACGCGUUAAACGCGCCGCCUGGGAAGUACGGCCGCAAGGUUAAA